GAGGAAUUUUGGACAAUGGGGGCAACCCUGAUCCAGCCAUGCCGCGUGUGUGAAGAAGGCCUUCGGGUUGUAAAGCACUUUCAGUGCGGAGGAAGUCCUGUUGGCUAAUACCCAUCAGGAUUGACGUUACCCACAGAAGAAGCACCGGCAAACUCCGUGCCAGCAGCCGCGGUAAUACGGAGGGUGCGAGCGUUAAUCGGAAUUACUGGGCGUAAAGCGCACGUAGGCGGCCUGUUAAGCUGGAUGUGAAAGCCCCGGGCUCAACCUGGGAAUGGCUUCCAGAACUGGCAGGCUAGAGUACGGUAGAGCUGAGUGGAAUUUCCUGUGUAGCGGUGAAAUGCGUAGAUAUAGGAAGGAACACCAGUGGCGAAGGCGGCUCACUGGACUGGUACUGACGCUGAGGUGCGAAAGCGUGGGGAGCAAACA
rnacentral:rRNA from 1 species